UCUUGUAGCUCAGUUGGUAAAGAAUCUGCUUGCAAUGCAGGAGAUCUGGGUUCGAUUCCUGGGUCAGGAA
rnacentral:tRNA from 1 species